UGGAAUUCUGCAGCCAAAUCUCCUGCUUUCUUCCUCGCGUACUGUUCUCUUGGAGACCCAACAUCCUGCUCCCAUUGCAGGCAGCUCCAAGCACAAGUGGACAAGAAGGAAGUGUCAGGAAUGUCAAGCAAAGAAGAGGAAAGAGGACAAGUCACUGAAGAUGGAGAAGAAGGAAAGGGCCUCUGGGCACAGUAACCUCCCUGUAAUCAGAUCUCAGGUCAUGUAAUGACACUGUACGGGCAUCUCGAGCCUUUUAAUACCUUGAGCAGUGUGACCACCCCGUAAGCAGCGUCCAGAAUUUCAAAUGGCAUUGCAAGUCUGCUAAAACUGUCAUGCACACUCUUUAAAUCCUCUUAAGAGAAUUGGACAAAACAGAAACAGCCAACUUAAAAACAAGAAAAGAGAUGCUAACCACCUGUGAAGAACAAGAAAGGAAACAAAUUCUGAGAGCAAAGUAUAGUUGUGUGAUCUAUUUCAAAGGUUUAUACAAUGUCCAGCACCACAGUAUAUAUAUGCAUUGGAAGGAUAAAUUGAACAAUGUGACUAGUAUCUGUUACCUUUUGAAUGCUGAUUAAUGUUAAUAGACAGUAUAUAACAAACUCUGAAGCUCAAUUACUUGUGGCACCACAAAACUGAAGAGUGGCAAACAGUUUCCUUCUAUAACCUUUCAAUUCAGUAACUACCUCUGCCACAUGAGAACUGAUAUGUCAUCUUAUUUUAUAAUGAUGUAUGUCCUCUCAAAUUGUCUUUUCUAAUGAGUCCAUAAAGCAUGCUUUGUGCAUCAUACUUCCAUAUUCUGGUAGAAAAGCAGGAUGUAUCUUUUUUAUUUAAUUCAAGACACUUAAUCUUUACUAGGCUUUCAUGACAUUGCUUGAUGAUUUGGGCUUCUGUUUAGCAAGUAGUCAGACUUACUUUCUUAAAGUCUCUGUUGGCUACAGAAGAAAAGUUAUUUGAAAAUGAUAGAAGAAAACUGAGAUGUUGGGUGCGAGUGGCACCCUGAAAAGCAUUGGAAGACCUCUUCCAGUAGGCACACUAUUAAUAUUUCUCCCAGUUCAUAAGAAAGCCCAUUUCUGAUACCAAAAUAGUACCAUAGCUAUGAUGCCUUAUGGAAUUUAUCUAAGUUUCUACCUAUCACCAAUUAGAAAUUGUCAAUAGAACUGGUUAUUUGCAUCUAAAUGUUGAUUUCAUGUACCUAUAUAACUAAUUAUUUAAAAUGUGUUUUACCAGGUGACUACCCGAUUUUAUGUAAAAUAGUUAUACACAUCUUAGAAGAUGUGCUCCUUUGACUUAAGUGUGUGACUUUUAUAUACUUGGGCGACUAAUGCUUUAUGUACUUAUUGUUUUUACUAACAAGUUUGUCACUAGGCACCAAGGAAUAAUUGUGAAUCUGUAAUGCAGAUCACACAAGCACUAUAGGAUCAUAGCUUACUAUUAUUAAAAAUAAAUCAUAAUUUUCUACAAAGUACAAAGAUGUAACUGAAGGGAAGGCAUGUGUUUGUAUUCUCCAAUCAUCCUCAAUUCUCCCCUCCCCCUCCAAAAAAUUCAAAAAUAGUUCAGGUGGAAAGAUUAACAUUUACUCCAGGUAACACCUACCUUAAUAUUUUAAAGCUCUGUAUCUCUCACACAUUGCUAAAAACAAGCAAACAAAAUUAAAUGUUCUGGAAACUGGCAGUUACUCCCCCAACUUCACAACUUUCAAACACCUACUCUACUUCAACGGUCACACCAAUCAAACUGUGCCACACAUGCAAUUUUAACUUAGCACCUGUUGUGUCAGAACAGUUAGAGUAUAUUUUGGUAGUUGUGUAUAUUGAUGUACAUGGUAAAAGUGGUGUUUUAAUGGGUUUUUU